rnacentral:rRNA from 1 species
UACGUAGGGUGCGAGCGUUGUCCGGAAUUAUUGGGCGUAAAGGGCUCGUAGGCGGUUUGUCGCGUCGGGAGUGAAAACCAGGUGCUUAACACCUGGCUUGCUUUCGAUACGGGCAGACUAGAGUGUGGUAGGGGAGACUGGAAUUCCUGGUGUAGCGGUGAAAUGCGCAGAUAUCAGGAGGAACACCUAUGCGAAGGCAGCUCGCUGGGACGUAACUGACGCUGAGACGCGAAACGUGGGGAGCAAACAGG